GACGAACGCUGGCGGCGUGCUUAACACAUGCAAGUCGAACGGAAAGGCCCUGCUUGCAGGGUGCUCGAGUGGCGAACGGGUGAGUAACAUGUGGGUGAUCUGCCCCUUACUUUGGGAUAAGCCUGGGAAACUGGGUCUAAUACUGGAUAGGACCAUGCUGUAGGUGGUGUGGUGGAAAGAUUUUUUCGGUAAGGGAUGAGCUCGCGGCCUAUCAGCUUGUUGGUGGGGUAAUGGCCUACCAAGGCGUCGACGGGUAGCCGGCCUGAGAGGGUGGACGGCCACAUUGGGACUGAGAUACGGCCCAGACUCCUACGGGAGGCAGCAGUGGGGAAUAUUGCACAAUGGGCGCAAGCCUGAUGCAGCGACGCCGCGUGGGGGAUGACGGCCUUCGGGUUGUAAACUCCUUUCAGCCAUGACGAAGCCUCUUUUGGGGUGACGGUAGUGGUAGAAGAAGCACCGGCUAACUACGUG
rnacentral:rRNA from 1 species